CCAGAUUCAAAGCUUCAGCAGGCUUAAACGAGGGACUCCAUAUCGAGGCUCAAAACUAAUGAAAUUCAACAGUACAAGCGUUCAUUGGGCCAAUAUAGGUAUAAGUGACAUCUGGGCUCAUUUGUUAUGGAACUGGGCCAAUAUUGGGACUAGUUCUUAUGGUCCAAAUAGUCCAAAUCAAGACAUAAUAAUACCAAACACAAAUUGACACCAACACUUGAACAUGAUAUUAAACGAUUUGAAUUUAUGGUUUAA
rnacentral:lncRNA from 1 species